GUAAGGAUUGACAAGGGCAGAUGGUGGACGCCUAGGCAACGGAAGGCGAUGAAGGACGUGGCCGGCUGCGAUAAACCUCGGAAAGCUGCCAAGCAAGCAUUGACCCGAGGGUCUCCGAAUGGGAUAACCCACCUGGUAGAAUACCAGGUAUUUGGUCCCCGAAUUAAAGUAAGGGUCCAAAGGCAAACUCGGCGAAGUGAAACAUCUCAGUAGCCGGAGGAAAAGAAAAAAGAUUUGAUUCCCCAAGUAGCGGCGAGCGGACGGGGACCAGCCCAAACCAUCGGGUAUAUCCCGAUGGGGUUUUGGGAAGACCCACUAAGGGAUGACCUCUCCUAGAGGAACCGUACUGGAAAGGCGGCCGAAGCGGGUGAUAGCCCCGUACUCGAAAGGAGAAGUCGCCCGGGUCUUGCCCGGAGUAGCCUCGGACACGUGUAACCCGGGGCCAACAAGGGAGGACCACCUCCCAAGGCUAAAUACUAACCGUUGACCGAUAGCGAACUAGUACCGUGAGGGAACGGUGAAAAGAACCCCUGAAGGGGAGUGAAACAGAACCCGAAACCGUCUGCCUACAGACAGUGGGAGCUUGAACACUUUUUAAGUGUUCGGUGACCGCAUGCCUUUUGCAGUAUGAGCCGGCGAGUUACUUUAGGUAGCGAGGUUAAGCAUAUAGCGGAGCCGGAGGGAAACCAAGUCUUAACGGGCGACAAGUUACCUGAAGUAGACCCGAAACCAGGUGAUCUACCCCUCGUCAGGGUGAAGUCCGGGUAACACCGGGUGGAGGCCCGAACCCACCAAAGAUGCAAUUUUGGGGGAUGAGCGAUGGGUAGCGGUGAAAAGCCAAUCGAACCUGGUCAUAGCUGGCUCUCUCCGAAAUCGCUUUCGGGCGAGCCCUCUGUUGACGUAGGUGGGGGUAGAGCACUGGAUGGGCGCGACCUAGUCGUACCCAACCAAACUCCGAAUACCACCUGCAAAUCCAGGGGAGUUAGAACAUGGGGGAUAAACUCCAUGCUCAAAAGGGAAACAACCCAGACCGCCAGCUAAGGCCCCUAAAUCCGAACUAAGUGGUGAAGGGAGUGUUGGCGCUCAAACAGCUGGGAGGUUAGCUUAGAAGCAGCUACCCUUUAAAGAGUGCGUAAUAGCUCACCAGUCUAGCGGCGAUGCACCAAAAAUCUAACGGGGCUCAAGUUCGGUGCCGAAGCUGCGGAUCAGCACGUUAGUGUUGGUGGUAGGAGAGCGUUCCGUUUUAGGCCGAAGCGGAGACCGGAAGGUCCCGUGGACGAGACGGAAGAGAGAAUGCCGGCAUAAGUAGCGCAAGCCAAGUGAGAAUCCUGGCCCCCGAAUGCCUAAGGUUUCCUGGGGAAGGCUCGUCCUCCCAGGGUAAGGCGGUCCUAAGCUCAACCCAAACGGGGUAGGUGACGGACAGCCGGUUAAUAUUCCGGCCCCUCAACUGUGAGCUUGACUGAAGGGGUAACGGGAGCUGACGACCUUCGCCGGAGAACGGUUACCGGCCCAAGCUUUAAGGUAGACCGAAUAGGAAAAUCCGUUCGGUCGUAGCCGAGAAGUGACGGCGAGGACCCUUACGGGUCCGAAGGAAGGAAGUUAACUCUCCGAGAAAACCCUCUAAGGAUUGCAGUUGAGACCGUACCGCAAACCGACACAGGUAGGCAAAUAGAGUAUAUCAAGGGGUGCGAGUAAACUCUGGUCAAGGAAUUCGGCAAAGUGGCCCCGUAAGUUAGC
rnacentral:rRNA from 1 species